CUGGCGGCAGGCUUAACACAUGCAAGUCGAACGCAUCCUUCGGGAUGAGUGGCAGACGGGAGAGUAACACGUGGGAACGCGCCCUUCGGUUCGGAAUAACUCAGGGAAACUUGAGCUAAUACCGGAUACGCCCUUACGGGGAAAGAUUUAUUGCCGAAGGAACGGCCCGCGUCGGAUUAGCUAGUUGGUGAGGUAAUGGCUCACCAAGGCGACGAUCCGUAGCUGGUCUGAGAGGAUGACCAGCCUCACUGGGACUGAGACACGGCCCAGACUCC
rnacentral:rRNA from 2 species